rnacentral:rRNA from 1 species
CCUAACACAUGCAAGUCGAACGGCAGCAUAGGAGCUUGCUCCUGAUGGCGAGUGGCGAACGGGUGAGUAAUAUAUCGGAACGUGCCCUAGAGUGGGGGAUAACUAGUCGAAAGACUAGCUAAUACCGCAUACGAUCUACGGAUGAAAGUGGGGGAUCGCAAGACCUCAUGCUCCUGGAGCGGCCGAUAUCUGAUUAGCUAGUUGGUGGGGUAAAAGCCUACCAAGGCGACGAUCAGUAGCUGGUCUGAGAGGACGACCAGCCACACUGGGACUGAGACACGGCCCAGACUCCUACGGGAGGCAGCAGUGGGGAAUUUUGGACAAUGGGGGCAACCCUGAUCCAGCAAUGCCGCGUGAGUGAAGAAGGCCUUCGGGUUGUAAAGCUCUUUUGUCAGGGAAGAAACGGUAGUAGCUAAUAUCUAUUACUAAUGACGGUACCUGAAGAAUAAGCACCGGCUAACUACGUGCCAGCAGCCGCGGUAAUACGUAGG